GCACUGCGCAGGCGCCGCAGACGGCGGGCGGGGUCUGGCGGCAGGGCGGAGCCUAGAGGGCCUCGGGGCGCGGCCUGGAGCCCCGAGCGGAUCAGGGGCAGCUCACCUGCAGGCGGGGCGGGGCCUGGCGCUGCAGCGGUACACGGCCUGGGAGCCGGGCUAGGCGGGAGGCGGGACUGGGCCUGGUGCGACUCACCAGGCCGCGAGGCGGGGAAGAGGCGGGACGGAGCGCGACAGGGCCUGGCGGCUGGGUGGAGCCCGGCGGGCGGCGGGCGGGGCCUGGGGCUGCUCACCUGGCGGCGGGUAGGGCGGGCCGGACGAAGCUGGACCUGGCCCGGCGGCCGGGCGGGGAAUGGCGCCACUCACCCGGCGGUCGGGCGGAUGCGAAGGGACGGCGCGGGACGGGGCCUGGGGGCCGGGAGGGGCCCAGCGACCGGGCAGGGCUGGGAACUGCUCACCUGGCGGCGGGGCUGGUGCGGCUCUCACGGGCCUAGUGGGCGAUGGGGUCUGGCGCCGCUCACCUGGCAGCUGGGAGGGCGGGACGGAGCAGGGCGGGCCCGACGCCGCUCUCUCCCGGUGGCGGCGUGGGCGGCCGGGGCGGGGCCGGGCGGGGCUCUCACCUGGUGGCGCCGGGGGCAGCUGGGCGGGGCCCCGGGGCGGGCGCGCGGGGCCGGCCCCCAGGUGUGCGCCGGGAAGGGGCGGUGUUCGGGGCGUCGAGCCCCGGGAGCCUGGGGCGCCAGGGCUCGCGCCGGAAGUCAGGCAUCCUGGGAAGUUUCGUUUUCGUUCAGUGGGAGGACUUUCGCGGAUGGACCUGCCCUCCUCAUUCUUGGAUCUAAGCAGGUGGCCUGUGGAAGUUUGUCACGGGAAGGCUCAGUGGCUGGUGGCAUUUUGCACUGUUGCUUCGGAUGGAGGUCAUGUCCCCGCAGGGAUCUUGCCAGUGAACUUUGAAUGCUAAAUCAAUACCAAAAUUUUUGAGAACGUGUGAUUCUUGAACUGAGAAGAUGUCUCAACACUAUUCUUUCUCUCCGUUUCUGGACCUUGACCUUUGUCACGUGAAAAUUCCCACCGGUCAGGCUGUGUCCAGUGGCACUAAAGCCACACUGUCUUCAUUCCAAACCACUGUGACAGGACAGCGUGCUCUCAGGCGUCCUCAACUGCCAAACUGUCCUGGCAAAUCUUGUCAUUUGUUUAUUUUGUUUUGUUAUUUAUUUAUUUAUUUAUUUAUUUAUUUAUUUAUUUAUUUUUGAGAGAGAGAGAGAGAGAGAGAGAGAGAGAGAGCGAG